CUAGGCCCCUAGCAGCUUUGGCUUAGGUUCCUUCAAAAUAGCAGGGAAGCUGUUAGCAUUAAUGCUAACUGGUAACAGUGGAUGCAAUAUCACAUUCCAGUGAAGGAAUAGCACUCUUGUGUCAUCAGUGUUGCAAAGACCACACAAUGAAGUUGCAAACAAAUAAUUCUCAACUGCAAUUCAGAAAAUCUGCUUAGGAGUCGCAUCUUCACUGGCUACAUCUUGCUGAUCUUGAUUUUGUCUGGAAUUAGCUACAGAUUAAUCUGGUGAUUGAGCACCUGGUGGGAAGGCAGGGCCAACCCAGGGGAGCUCAGGUGUAUGCAGUGUACCUGAGUGACUGGAAGGAGUAGAGCCAGCAUCCAUCCCUUUCCAGUCCUCAUCUACGGGUUGGCAGUGGAGGUGAGGGCAUCUUGUUGGAGAUCUCUGUGUACCUGAG
ensembl:lncRNA